UACGGGGGGGGGGCAAGGCGUUGGUUCGGAAUUACUGGGCGUUAAAGGGCUCGUAGGCGGCCAACUAAGUCAGACGUGAAAUCCCCAGGCUCAACCUGGGAACUGCGUCUGAUACUGGAUGGCUUGAAUUCGGGAGAGGGAUGCAGAAUUCCAGGUGUAGCGGUGAAAUGCGUAGAUAUCUGGAGGAAUACCGGUGGCGAAGGCGGCAUCCUGGACCGACAUUGACGCUGAUGAGCGAAAGCUAGGGGAGCAAACGGG
rnacentral:rRNA from 1 species